AAUCAACGCUGGCGGCGUGCCUAACACAUGCAAGUCGAACGCGGAUCAUCGGGUUAGCAAUAAUUCGGUGGUCCUAGUGGCGCACGGGUGAGUAACACGUGGGUGACCUGCCCUUGAGCUCGGGAUACCCCCUCGAAAGGGGGGCUAAUACCGGAUACGUUCCUCGGUCGAAAGACUGAGGAGGAAAGGUGGCGCAAGCUGCCGCUCUUGGAGGGGCUCGCGGCCUAUCAGCUAGNGGCGGGGUAACGGCCCACCAAGGCUAUGACGGGUAGCUGGUCUGAGAGGACGACCAGCCACACGGGGACUGGGACACGGCCCCGACUCCUACGGGAGGCAGCAGUGGGGAAUUUUCCGCAAUGGGCGAAAGCCUGACGGAGUGACGCCGCGUGUGGGACGAAGGCC
rnacentral:rRNA from 1 species